GUACAUGAGCAACUGUUUCCUGUGACAGAUCACAUCUACUUGUCGUGAAGGCACAAUGGAUCCAGAUCUGAAGCUAAAGAUUAAGAUCGGUAUUUUUGUUGGGAGUUUUGUGCUUAGUCUUUUAGCCUACUGCUGCAAGAUGUGUGUCGCAGGUGACAGUGGUCAACCUGAGGGAGAAGAUGGAGCAGCGUUACAAAGACAGCAGAUAGUGUAGCGGCUCCUUCUCCGUCUGCUCUGGAUGUGGGAUUCACACAUUUGAGGACCAUCAAGUUGGUGCCAGUGUUUCCCGUCAAUCAGCAGAUGUCGACACAGCAACCAGCACGCCUCUCAGAAUGCCGCCCAAACAGUGGGAUGUAUUUUAUAUGAUAUUAUCUGCAACUUAACAAGUUAAGGAAAAUCUGGGAAAAAAGGGGGGAAAAGUGAUAAAAAUUAUGUUGUGUUUUUCUGUGCUUCAUAAACAGCUGCAGAGGUCUUUGACAUUUUCCUUAUUGCCUGGCAGAGUUUCACUGUAUUCAAGCUGUACAGUAACUUCUGCAGGUUUACUAUGUGUGACGCUUUAAAGUUGUCAACCUCGGGGCCUUUAAUAAACUGUAGUUCCCGAGUCGUAUCAGAGAGUAUAUUGGAACGCUUCUCAUCAAACUUUGACAAGUCCCAAUCAGAAAUUUCCACGUCACAAGGGGGUGGGGCUUUGAAAUAUGGGGCUCAAUCAGAGACUGCCACGUCAUAGAUGCUCCUCAGUCCUCACUGGUUGCCAGCGUUGGAAUGCAGUCACUGUGUGUGAUGCUCAAAAGUUAUCAGCAUUGAGGCCCAUUAAUAAACUCUGGUCCCCGAUCCAUAUCAGAGAGCAUAAUGGGACACUUCUCAUCGAAUUUUGACAGGUUCCAAUCAGAAGCCCUCCAAAAGCUCAGGCCGUUGCCUGUGACGAAGGAGGUGGAUCCACUCGGGAGGCCAGCGACGGACGACACGGGGACCCUCGAGAGACCGUUUAUGGAUGAGAUCAGGACCCUCAGAAACGUCCAGGUCACAGGGGGCGGGUCUUUGACAUAUGGGGGCCAAUUAGAGACUUCCACGUCAUAAGGCGGGCUCUAGUAAUAUGGUCCAAUCAGAAAGCAUCCUGUCAUGAGGGGUGGGGCUUUGAAAUAUGGGGCCCAAUCAGAGGCUGCCACAUCAUAGGUGCUCUUCAAUACUCACUGGUUGCCAGCGGUGGAAUCCAGUCACUGGCUGAAUCCCAAACCGCCCCCUACACACUAUCCCUACUAACUACCCCUUCAUUUGCGCGUUCCGGCGGAGGGUCCUCCAUAUUAAGGGCCGUCCCACACCGCGUAGCGCGGAGGGAGAGUGGACUGUUCAGCCCUUAAAUAGCGAGUCUGCAUCGAUGCUCACUCUGGACAACUUUUUCAGGAAGUGCAACGUCGAAAUGGAGGAGGAAACAAACAUAUUGAUGUGAGUUCCACAUGCGUCCUUUAUUUCUCCCACGCCUUUUUCACACUGACAGAACAUCACAAAAAGAGUGGUGUAAAAAGAUAUAUCAAAAGAAAUAAAUCUUCUUCUCUACUGACGUUUGAUUUAAUUGUGCACCCCUUGACACCUUAAAAUUUGAACACAACUGACAGAAUUCAUUUAUUCAUUUCUUGGAUUUGAAAUGCCAGAUAAUAGGAUUGGAAAACAUGUGAGUGAAAAAAAGUGGGAUGCUUUCGUCUUCUGGAAGCAGCAGCGAUCCUUGUUAGUUGCAACCUGUGCCACAGCGCUACAGCCAUGCACAGUAGGCGUCUUUGUGUUACCAUGGCGAUCACGUCUUCCGUUUUCCGGUGAGGUGACAGGGCGUCCCAUUCCUGACGAUCGUAUUUAUACCCUCCCCCUUCAGUAAGAGGUGCCCUCCACAGCUGCGAGUGUGACACUCGGUAGUGGAGGGGGAGUGUGUAGGGGGCGGUUUGGGAUUCAGCCACUGUGUCCGACUCUCAAAAGUUGUUAGCCUUAACCCAUAGUUCCUUGCAGCAUUUCUUCUCCUGCAGCUUCUUAGGUUUACCCCCCAGCUUGGUCGUUUCCUGCUGCAGUUCAGUCAUCCUUUCUUCCACCCCUGUUAUGGUCCUGCUCCUGCCCUUUUUCCUCCUCUUUUCCUUCCUUUCCCCAUUGUUGCCAUUCUGUGUGUGUUUUGGCUUGUUUACCUCUGUUUGUCGUCUUUCCGUCCUGUCUCUCUCUCCCGGUCGCUCACCCUCUGGGUCUGCCAGCUGAUUGCUGCUGUGGGCGUCAGCUGCAGUCAAUCAGCCAAACUCCACUCACCUGUUCCCCUUAGCUAUAUAAGCUCUCUUCUUUCCCUCAGUCUCUGCCUGGUCAUUGUAAGACUCUCAUGUCGUCUCAGACGCUGCCCCCCCCCGGUAAACCCUUCCACCUCUGGACUAUGUCAGUUUUUUUUGGACCCUUCUGCUUCCCCCCCUUUUGUGGAUUCCCCCCUUGGACUGCGUUGUUUUUGGAUUUGACUGCAGCCUGUUGGUUCCCUUAGUUAUUAUCCCCCGCCUCCACGAAGUGGAAAAGAGGGAUAUAGGUUUGGCCUCCGUCCGUUCGUCCGUUCGUCCGUCCGUGCGUCCGAGAUGAAGGGGACAGCUUUUCUCUGAAACUAUUACAGCAAGGAUUACGAAAGUUACUGUGUAGCUUCACACCAUGGACACCUUGAUCAAGUUUGAAAAUGAGACUUGUGCGAUAAUAUUUAACAGAGUUAUGGCCCUUGAUCACUAUUUUGGAUAUAGACUCAUAGACAUCACAUGUGGCGGGGGAUAUUGAUGACCAUGUCGUCUUGUUAGUUUUCCCCCUGUGCGUGAAUACCUUUAAUUAGCUCUGCUAUUCUCAGCUGUUUGGUUCUGCUUUGCCACCUCAGUCCUGUUUUCUGUUAUGUUGUAGUUUUUGAUUCUCAUUUAAUAAACCUCUU